GGAGGAUCCAAGCGUUAUCCGGGAAUCAUUGGGUUUAAAGGGUCCGUAGGCGGUUUAGUAAGUCAGUGGGUGAAAGCCCAUCGCUCAACGGGUGGGAACGGGCCAUUGAUACUGCUAGACUUGAAUUAUUAGGAAGUAACUAGAAUAUGUAGUGUAGCGGUGAAAUGCUUAGAGAUCACAUGGAAUACCAAUUGCGAAGGCAGGUUACUACUAAUUGAUUGACGCUGAUGGACGAAAGCGUGGGUAGCGAACAGGAUUAGAUACCCUGGUAGUCCACGCCGUAAACGAAGGAUACUAGCUGUUGGGAGCGAUCUCAGUGGCUAAGCGAAAGUGAUAAGUAUCCCACCUGGGGAGUACGUUCGCAAAGAAAUGA
rnacentral:rRNA from 1 species